UACGAAGGGGGCUAGCGUUGCUCGGAAUCACUGGGCGUAAAGCGCACGUAGGCGGUCUUUUAAGUCAGGGGUGAAAUCCUGGAGCUCAACUCCAGAACUGCCUUUGAUACUGGGAGACUUGAGUCCGGGAGAGGUGAGUGGAACUGCGAGUGUAGAGGUGAAAUUCGUAGAUAUUCGCAAGAACACCAGUGGCGAAGGCGGCUCACUGGCCCGGUACUGACGCUGAGGUGCGAAAGCGUGGGGAGCAAACAGGG
rnacentral:rRNA from 1 species